GACGAACCGUGCGAACGUUGUUCGGAAUCACUGGGCUUAAAGGGCGCGUAGGCGGGCUGUCAAGUCAGUGGUGAAAUCUUUCAGCUCAACUGGAAAAGUGCCGCUGAUACUGGCAGUCUCGAGGGAGGUAGGGGUCGAUGGAACUAAUGGUGGAGCGGUGAAAUGCGUAGAUAUCAUUAGGAACGCCGGUGGCGAAAGCGAUCGACUGGACCUCUUCUGACGCUGAGGCGCGAAAGCCAGGGGAGCAAACGGG
rnacentral:rRNA from 1 species